UACGUAGGGGGCUAGCGUUGUCCGGAUUUAUUGGGCGUAAAGAGCGUGUAGGCGGCCAGAUAGGUCUGCUGUGAAAACUCGAGGCUCAACCUCGAGAUGUCGGCGGAAACCAUUUGGCUAGAGUCCGGAAGAGGAAAGUGGAAUUCCUGGUGUAGCGGUGAAAUGCGCAGAUAUCAGGAAGAACACCCGUGGCGAAGGCGGGUCUCUGGGCCGAUACUGACGCUGAGGAGCGAAAGCGUGGGGAGCAAACAGG
rnacentral:rRNA from 1 species